rnacentral:tRNA from 1 species
GCAGUCGUAGUAUAGUGGCAGUACGCGACAUUGCCAAUGUCGGAGCUAGGGUUCGAUUCCCUGCGACUGCA